GCCAGGGUGGCAUAGUGGUUUGAGUAUUGGGCUAUGACUCUGGAGAGCAGGGUUCGAGUCCCUGUUCAACCA
rnacentral:tRNA from 1 species